rnacentral:rRNA from 1 species
AGGGCUUGACAUGCUAGUGGUAUCCCGGUGGAAACACUGGGAGACCCCUUUGGGGAGCUAGCACAGGUGCUGCACGGCUGUCGUCAGCUCGUGUCGUGAGAUGUUGGGUUAAGUCCCGCAACGAGCGCAACCCUCGUCCUUAGUUACUAACGGUUCGGCCGAGGACUCUAAGGAGACUGCCUUCGUAAGGAGGAGGAAGGUGAGGACGACGUCAAGUCAUCAUGGCCCUUACGGCUAGGGCAACACACGUGCUACAAUGGUUAGGACAAUGAGAAGCGAUACCGCGAGGUGGAGCAAAUCUAUAAACCUAAUCUCAGUUCGGAUAGCAGUCUGCAACUCGACUGCUUGAAGCUGGAAUCACUAGUAAUCGUAAAUCAGCUAUGUUACGGUGAAUACGUUCCCGGGUCU